rnacentral:lncRNA from 10 species
AGUCGGAGCGCAGAGGGACACGCAGGUGCGAGAGAGAGCGGCCUAGGAGGAUUGGGAGGGCGGAUUGGAGGGGGGAGGCGGAGCGCUGUGGCCCCCGCCCCGCAGCCGCGUCGCGAUUGGUUGUUUGGACUGCGACCCCUGCUGCACCCACUGACCGCAGGGACCGGAUAGUGGGCAAGAAGCGUGUGUUAAAAGGGAAAACCAGACCAGUUGGCAGCAGGUCGCCCCAACCUCAGUGCUCCUGGAGGAUAUAGGUUUUGGGGGGCAGUUUUGAAUCAUUUCCUCUCCUAAACGUAGGCUCCAAAACAAAGCCUCAGCAACCAACCUGCGUUUAUAAAACAAACGUUCGGGGGCUCCUUCUGUGUGCCUGGAACGGUGUGCUUUUUAAAAUUUAAUUCCUUCUAAUAACAUGAAUUUGGUGUUAUCACGCCAGGGUUUUUAGCCAGGUGCAUUAUAAUAUUUUAUUGGUGAUACAAACUUAUUGGUAAUACCACAGUUGCCUACUGGCGAAUGAUCUCAGCUGAAAUGGAGGAAGAAGGGAUUUGGGGACCGCCACACUUCCUUUUUGCCCAAUUUUUGUUAGUGCCCUUUUCUGUCGCCAGGCGCCUUCUUUGUCCUUCCUUGCUCUUAGCUUGAGCAUCCUAUCAGAGCCUACCUUUAUAAAGACGAUCUUUCAAAAACCACUUUCCCAAGCCGACAAAAUGACUACAAAUCAGGGGAAUGUGAACAAAUCUGGAAAAGACAGAAAUUUCUAUUGACUCUCUUCUCCCUCACACCUGUUAGUUUUUCCAUUUGAAAAAGGCAACUUGUCAAUCCAUGUUUCCAGCUUUACUUCCUUCACUUGCUUUUCUUCCCAGAUCUCUGUUGUAGCCAGUGCUCAUUCAUUCCUCCCUAAAUAUGCAUUCCUGCCUCUGACUCUCCAUUUUGUCUUUGAUCAUGCCAUUCCCUCUGCUAAAAUGCUCUUCACCUCAUUGUCAUCUGUCAACAUCCAGUCAUCCUCCAACCAAAGAUCAUAUGAGACUUCCACCAGAAAUUGAAUGUUUCAUAUAAAUAGAAUCAUACAAUAUGUAAUUUUUGUUUAGAGGCAAGGUCUCGCUAUGUUGUCAGGCUGGUCUCCAACUCCUGGGCUCAAGAGAUCAUCUUACCUUAACCUUCGGAGUAGCUGGGAUUACACAUGUGAGCCACAUGGCUUACAUGUAGUCUUGUGUCUGGUGUUAAGCAAGACACAAAAGUUCCUGAGUGGAACUUCCCCUGCAAGUCACCAGGAUGGACCCUUUGAAGUUACCAAUACUCACCAUUAUUCCUUGAAAAAUCUGAGUUCACCUUAAAUCUACCUGCCUGCAACCCUGGAAAGAGAAGAAGCAAUUAUUGUCCUUAAAAAAAAGAGAGAGAGAGCUUUAGACUGUGCCCCAGGCUCACAUGGGCCCACUGAAAAUUGAAUUGGGAAAUAAUAAAUUAGUAUAUCUCACACUUUAAUAUACAUGCUGAUCACCUGGAGUUCUUAUUAAAUGGCAUGGUCUAAUCCAUUAGGUCUAGAGUGGGCCCUGAAAUUCUGCAUUUCUUUCUUUUUUUUUUUUUUUCAAUAGAGACAGGCUCUCACUGUGUUGCCCAGGCUGAUCUUGAACCCUCCUGACCUCAAGCAAUCUUCCUG